rnacentral:misc_RNA from 1 species
CUAAGGAAUAAUUCGGAACCUUACAUUAAUCAAAAUCUUGGUCAGUUUUGAGAGUAUCUACUCUCUUAAUUUUGUUCUUUGAAAACUAGAUAAUAUUAUUUUCUGUAAUAAUUAUAUUUUUAUAUAUAAUUGAACCGAGAAAUAACCAUUGUGUUAUUUUUGAGUUUUUUAAUUAGUUUUAAUCGCUAAAACUCAAAUAAUUUAUAAUCCGUAGGAUUAUA